CCAGCCCACACAGGCAAAGAGGCAGCUAGCUCCAUCACGGGGUCCACAAGCUGACGUACUGCCUUUGCGCAUGUCAGCCAUCACGGCCACCCCGAACGCCACAGAAAAAGAGUGGUAACCUGGGCUCUCUCGGCCACCUUGGCUUGCUUCCCAGUUUCUGUCUUUAGGAUCCUCGACCCAGGUUUCUCUUCCUGGUUGACGGGCAGGGCCCAUCAGCCCCAGGACCUGUAGCCGCAGGAGGCUGACCCUUUUCUGUGAUAAAGGCCAAGAAGGAGCAAUGUUAGGCAGAUAGUCCCACUCUCCCCUUCAGUCCCACCCACAGCUUCUCUCCCAUACAAGGUGUCUCAAAUAGAUUACCUCCUCUGGUCUGAGCCGCCAAAACCACAAGAUGCAGCUGCCACCCCAACCUGUGCACUUUGGAGCUAAUUUCUACCAGGGCCUUCUCUCUGGGAGGAGCUGGAAUGUAUGCACAGAUAGGAUGCCUUUGAUAAGAGUCUACAUUUGGGACCAGCCACCCGCCCCCACUCCGGAUUUACUUGACGCGCUAAAAACAUUCCCUUUGUGGGACGUGAUGCCAUUUCUACAACCAUCUGUCUUCACCUGACACAGGAAGUUGGGGCCUGCAUGGUUAACACCGGCUGUUUUUCUUCUCCUGCUCUACAUUCUUUUAAAGGGCCCUCUUUGCCCUCUCCUGCCAUUUCUUCACUUAGUGACCAGGAGCUCCCGCAGAACUCUUCCUGUGUCUCACCCUCACUCCCAUCCCUAUCCCAGAGGCAGCUACUCUCUUCGAAACAGACGGAACAUUUUCUCAGGGAAGAAUCCUAGAAGUGACCCACUGAGAGUGAAGCACAAAUGAUAAGCCACACCCUGCAUGACACCUCUCAGAAGGCUGAGCCCGGAAGAUUAGAGCUGUCAAGAACACAGUUGUGGUUGGGAAGCAAGGAGCUGGAGGAUGUGAACUUAGGGACUCUCGCUCUUGGGCUGAGAUAUUAAAGCAGAUGUUCUGGUCUAAGCA
rnacentral:lncRNA from 1 species